AAUCUCCUGAUCAUGGAAAGUCCCCAUAUCCCCUAUUCUACCCAGUCCUAACUUCUCUUGGGAAUGAAAAGAACCUUGCCAGGCAUCUGCCCUUUUGGAAGAGAGUAGAAAAUGAUGCAGUCCCAGGUUAUCCAGUUCCCAAACCAGAUAUCAUCUCCAAGCUGGAACAAGGAGAAGAUCCAUGGACCAUACAGAAAGACAUAUCACAUUGGCUCUAUCCAGAUGAAAAUCGGGCACAUCAGAGAC